rnacentral:sRNA from 1 species
GCCCGGUGCAGUGUCAUGCACCUGUAGUCCCAGCUACUCUGGAGGCUGAGGUGGCAUGAUUGCUUGAGGCCAGGAGUUCCAGGCUGCAGUGAGCUCUGGUUAUGCUUGUGAAUAGCUACUGCACUCCAGCCUGGGCAACAUAGCAAGACCCCAUCUCUA